GGUAAUCGCUGCAACUUACGUUGUAGAGGAAAGUCCAUGCUCGCACGGUUCUGAGAUGACUGUAGUGUUCGUGCUCGGCGAAAAGAUAAGCCGGGGCUUCGCGCUUGCGCGUUGACGGCGGGGAUAAAUCCUACGUUUGUUUCGACAAAUAUGGAUGAGGUUCCCUGAAAAGUGCCACAGUGACGUAGCUGUUCCGGAAACGGUUCAGAUGGAACGCGGUAAACCCCAUGAGCGAGAAACCCAAAUUAUGGUAGGGGCACUCUUCUGAAGGAAUUGAACGGAUGAAGGGACAGACCCAGUCUGUAGAUAGAUGAUUACC
rnacentral:RNase_P_RNA from 1 species